rnacentral:rRNA from 1 species
UACGUAGGGGGCGAGCGUUAUCCGGAUUCAUUGGGCGUAAAGAGCGCGUAGGCGGCUUGUUAAGCGAGAUGUGAAAACCGGGGGCUCAACCCGCGGCCUGCAUCUCGAACUGGCAGGCUUGAGUCUGGUAGAGGAGUGUGGAAUUCCCAGUGUAGCGGUGAAAUGCGCAGAUAUUGGGAGGAACACCAGUGGCGAAGGCGGCACUCUGGGCCACGACUGACGCUGAGGCGCGAAAGCUAGGGGAGCGAACAGG